UGGGGAAUAUUGCGCAAUGGGCGAAAGCCUGACGCAGCGACGCCGCGUGAGGGAUGAAGGUUUUCGGAUCGUAAACCUCUGUCAGAAGGGAAGAAGUUGCAUGGGGCCAAUCACCUGUGCAUUGACGGUACCUUCAAAGGAAGCACCGGCUAACUCCGUGCCAGCAGCCGCGGUAAUACGGAGGGUGCGAGCGUUAAUCGGAAUUACUGGGCGUAAAGCGCACGUAGGCUGUAUGUCAAGUCAAGGGUGAAAUCCCACGGCUCAACCGUGGAACUGCCUUUGAAACUGGCAAACUGGAGUAUGUGAGAGGGCGGCGGAAUUCCUGGUGUAGGAGUGAAAUCCGUAGAUAUCAGGAGGAACAUCAGUGGCGAAGGCGGCCGCCUGGCACAAAACUGACGCUGAGGUGCGAAAGCGUGGGGUAUCGAACAGGAUUAGAUACC
rnacentral:rRNA from 1 species